UACGGGGGGGCAAGCGUUGUUCGGAAUACUGGGCGUAAAGGGCUCGUAGGUGGCCAACUAAGUCAGACGUGAAAUCCCUCGGCUUAACCGGGGAACUGCGUCUGAUACUGGAUGGCUUGAGUUUGGGAGAGGGACGCGGAAUUCCAGGUGUAGCGGUGAAAUGCGUAGAUAUCUGGAGGAACACCGGUGGCGAAGGCGGCGUCCUGGACCAAGCACUGACACUGAUGAGCGAAAGCCAGGGGCGCAA
rnacentral:rRNA from 1 species